rnacentral:rRNA from 1 species
GUUACUUAACGUGUAUGGUGGAUGCCUUGACUGAAAUAAGCGAUGAAGGACGCAGCUGGCUGCGAUAAUCUUCGGGGAGCUGUUAAGCAAGCUUUGAUCCGGAGGUUUCCGAAUGGGGCAACCCAACUGUGCGUAGCACAGGAAUUUUGAAUUCUGAAACUUUUUGAAACUUAAAACUAAGAAUCGAAAUUUCUGUGCUGCGUACAGUUAUCUUCGCGUGAAUUCAUAGCGUGAAGAGGCAUACCCUGGGAACUGAAACAUCUUAGU